rnacentral:rRNA from 1 species
GACGAACGCUGGCGGCGUGCUUAACACAUGCAAGUCGAACGCUGAAGCUUGGUGCUUGCACUGGGUGGAUGAGUGGCGAACGGGCGAGUAAUACGUGAGUAACCUGCCCUUGACUCUGGGAUAAGCCUGGGAAACUGGGUCUAAUACUGGAUACGACAUGUCACCGCAUGGUGGUGUGUGGAAAGGGUUUUACUGGUUUUGGAUGGGCUCACGGCCUAUCAGCUUGUUGGUGGGGUAAUGGCUCACCAAGGCGACGACGGGUAGCCGGCCUGAGAGGGUGACCGGCCACACUGGGACUGAGACACGGCCCAGACUCCUACGGGAGGCAGCAGUGGGGAAUAUUGCACAAUGGGCGGAAGCCUGAUGCAGCGACGCCGCGUGAGGGAUGACGGCCUUCGGGUUGUAAACCUCUUUCAGCACGGAAGAAGCGAAAGUGACGGUACGUGCAGAAGAAGCGCCGGCUAACUACGUG